rnacentral:lncRNA from 1 species
UGCAGCGUGCAACCUGAUCCACAUAAAUACAUGUAUUGUUCACAACUCGACACUCAGGCCCUAACCCAGUCACCAACCUAUCAAGUCUCACGGGCUCUUAGAAAUCAUGAAAAUCAGCCCAAAUAGAAAUGAUCGAAUGCAUCAAUAAGAAACAAAAGAAACUGAGAUACAAUAUGCAAGUAAAACUAUGAAUGAGUACAAUACAUCAAUUAGAAAAUAAUUCAAGAAGUACACAAACUCUGUGGGGCCUUGCAGUUCCAAAACAUCACCUAAAUUUGCUGUCAGAUUUCAAUAGCUCAUGGAGAGCAUACAACUUACAACAGAUUAUUCAACUUCACGUUUCCAUGUAAAUGGACCAAGUCACCAUUUC